UACAGAGGAGCCAAGCGUUGACCGGAUUGACUGGGCGUAAAGCGCACGCAGGCGGAUGCGCGCGUGGGGUGUGAAAUCUGGCCGCUUAACGGCCAGGCGCCAUCCCAUACGGCGCGUCUGGAGUGAUGCAGAGGUCGAUGGAAUUGCCGGUGUAGUGGUGAAAUGCGUAGAGAUCGGCAGGAACACCCAGGGGGAAACCAGUCGACUGGGCAUCUACUGACGCUGAGGUGCGAGAGCGUGGGGAGCGAACCGG
rnacentral:rRNA from 1 species